rnacentral:tRNA from 1 species
UCCCUCAUAGCUUAAUUGGUAAAUCAUCUGCCUGCAAUGCAGGAGACCCAGGUUUGAUUCCUGAGUCAGGAA